UACGAACGCUGGCGGCGUGCCUAAUACAUGCAAGUCGAGCGGACAGAAGGGAGCUUGCUCCCGGAAGUUAGCGGCGGACGGGUGAGUAACACGUGGGCAACCUACCCUGUAGAUCGGGAUAACAUCGAGAAAUCGGUGCUAAUACCGGAUAAUCAUUUGAAGUGCAUGCUUCGAAUGUAAAAGAUGGCUCCGGCUAUCACUACGGGAUGGGCCCGCGGGGCAUUAGCUAGUUGGUAAGGUCAUGGCUUACCAAGGCAACGAUGCGUAGCCGACCUGAGAGGGUGAUCGGCCACACUGGGACUGAGACACGGCCCAGACUCCUACGGGAGGCAGCAGUAGGGAAUCUUCCGCAAUGGACGAAAGUCUGACGGAGCAACGCCGCGUGAGUGAUGAAGGUUUUCGGAUCGUAAAGCUCUGUUGUUAGGGAAGAACAAGUGCCGUUUGAAUAAGGCGGCACCUUGACGGUACCUAACCAGAAAGCCACGGCUAACUACGUGCCAGCCGCCGCCGUAACAC
rnacentral:rRNA from 1 species